rnacentral:rRNA from 1 species
UGGGGAAUAUUGCACAAUGGGGGAAACCCUGAUGCAGCUAUGCCGCGUGUGUGAAGAAGGUCUUCGGAUUGUAAAGCACUUUCAGCAAGGAAGAAAGCAAAUAUGCUAACACCAUAUUUGUGUGACGUACUGC